GUCUACGGCCAUGCCACCCUGAACAAGCCCGAUCCCAUCUGAUCUUGGAAGCUAAGCAUGGUCGGGCCUGGUUAGUACUUGGAUGAGAGACCACCUAUGAAGACCAGAUGCUACAGGCG
rfam:Pteropus alecto contig65237, whole genome shotgun sequence.